GCUGGAAACCAUUCAUCUCUCUUACUUAACGGAGGUUUCCUCAGAGCUUUCCUAUGUUCACAUCAUUAUUUAAAGCAGACCACCUUGGUUUGACCUUCCUCCACCCCCUUAUUGUUCUGAAUCUGAAUCCCCUAAUCAGCCAGACCUUCCUCCUUACCGGUCUCGGACGGGGAGCUUGGUGAGCACAGACGCCGCCAUGGCAGGAAGCCCUCUGGGCAUCGAGGGCAGUCGGACAGGUGGUGUCCAUGACAGCGCGGACUGCCGCAGAACUCUCCUUGAGAGGACAGCUGGCCAAAGUGAUUCUCUGGUCAUCCCUCUUGCUGAAAGAGAAGUGUAACUGCCCUGAUAUUUGGGAUGGGCAGGAAGGGAUUUACUGUUUUCAAGUCUAUAUGGGUUAAUCUGCAGUUAAUUAGUUUCCGGUGGACAUGUGCCUGAAUGAUGACUUGAUUUGAAUCCAAGCUUCAUUAAUAAUUGGAUUCAACAUUUUGGGCUUAAUGAGGACCAGAGUCAUGAGGACUAAAUCUAGAGUCACAUCAGCUGUCCACAAAAUUCCUGCAAGCAGGUUCUGAUUUAGACCAGUAAAAAGCAUCAGUGCUGUGUUGAAGACCUGGUCUAAUAUAUUUCUGGGAAUAUUUACUGUAUAUGAAUGUAUAUAUGCACUUGUAUAAUAUAUACAGAUUUUGCAGACAAAAACUAUGCCAGAAGAACUCUUGUUUCCAGACUGGCUCUUGUCCUGCCUACAUGUGAGUCAUUUCUUCUCACCGCCAGUGCCAACUGGUGGUCACUGAUGCACCAGAGAGACAGUCUUUCUGCUUGGAGGUCAGAUGCCCAAUGCUAACCCACUGGCAGUGCUCAAUUUGCAGAGAAUGUCCCACUUGACCCUUCUCUCCCUGGGUUGGAACAUUAUCACUGUGAAUGUAAUUUUCAAAGCUUUUAAGCUUGAGAGGAUGCAACAAGUCUCUAACUGAGCAAAUAAGUUUUAUUUUUCCUAAAUGCUAGUAACUAGGCCAAAUUCGCAUGGGUUUUCUCAGGAAUACCACAAAGGUUGGCUCAUCUGUCAAACUUCAAGGCUUUACACGGAGGCACUGAAGCUUCUCAGCAAACCGGCACAAGACUUCUUUUCAAGCAUGGCAAAACAACAUUGCUCCUUGUGUUUCUUCUCAAAAAUAGAACUAUUUCAGCUAAAACUUGAACACCAAAACCAGCCUGAGGCAAACACCCAUCGUGGAAAACUUCAGUUGUUCUCAUGUGAAGUGUUUCAGUGCACAGUAUUGAAUCGCCCUUGUGAAAGCAACUCAGAUGUAAAGGUGUUCAGAGUGGCAAGAAAUAAGAGUACAGAAGUUCAGUAUCUGCCUCCAAAAAACAUGCUAAAACUUGAUGGAGGAUAUUCAUCUUGCUGCAGUUUUCUGAUUAGAACUUCAUCUCCUGUGACUGCUGAAUAUGCAAUGGGAGGCACAGUGUGAAGUGUACUGCAUGAGUCUUUGAGAAGGAACAGCUUCAGGACAUCUGGGACUUGUCCAGUCUUCCAGAAAUUUUUCUGUGCAGCUCUAUGAUGAUGUGUGAACGCUCUCCUGGAUCACAAGAAAGAAGCAGCCUCUUCAAUACAGAGAGGAACGCUGGUGGCAGACAGUCCUGGGAGAAGGGAAGGACUGGGAGGAGAGCAGGGAACAGAGAGGGCAAAUCUGUGUUGCAGAGAUCACAAAUCCAGGGGAAAACAUGAGCUUAUCUAUCACAG
ensembl:lncRNA